GUAGGACCCAGGAGAAGCCUGGCGGGCUCCAACAACAGUGGGCCCGCCUGGCCCUCCCCCCCCAGCUGGAGGUCUCUGCCAGGGCUUCUGGUCUGGGAGCAUGUGGCUGCCCUGCGCUGGAACCACAGAUACAGCAGAGAGCACUACUUUUCCUGUUCCAAGGCUCUAGACCCAUUAAGUGCCCAGGUGGUAGAAGUGAAGAAUGUAAGGUGGUAUGCUGAAUUUGGAUGAUAAUUUUGGAAUUUUCCAGUGCUUCAGAGAUCUGUCCAUGGGUGAACAUGACAGGAAACAGGAGGAAGAAAAAAGGAAAUCUUAUGGCUAACACAGUUCAUUGCAGCCCUGGAGAAGCAGAUUCUAUCAGCGCCUCUUCUGUAGAGUACCUCAGGGAUUCUAGGCAAAUUAAAUAAGCUACUGGGAUGUUUUCAUUAUCUGUAUCCAACUUGAGAAUCUAGGGAUCCAAUUUACAGAAGAGCUGAGAACUCAUAUCUGCAACUGAGUACAUGAGAAAUGUACUCCAGUUACAUAAAAUGCUUUAUGCUAAAUAAUCAGAAGAAAAGGGUUCCUCGAAUUCGGCAUCCAAACUUAGCUGACGCCAUUGCUAAUUUUAGCCUUAAAAUUGUGUGUGUCAUUUCUCUGUGUAUAAAAUGGGUAUCAUUAGACUAUUUCAAAGCAUUAUAAAGUCAGUCUUGUUUGUAUAGUGCUAAACUACAUACGGUGACAGUAGUGCAGAAAAGCCCACCAGGAAAUUAUUUUAUAUUUAAUGUAAAGUUCUAAUGGAGUACAAUAUAUAAUGCAUAGAACCAUAUAUUAAAUGAGGUUGAAAUAAUAUUGAAAAGCUGCUUGUUCAAUGGGCAACUCCCAUCCCACAUGCUAAAUGAUUCAGGGACCUUGUGGGGCAGGGGAAAAGCAAAUGUGACUGUACAUUUAAACAUGAUAUCACAACAUGUUUGUGCAAAGACAUAAAAGAUCAACUAGGGAAAACUAAUUUUACUAUUUUAUAAUUUUGAGUUCACUUCUAUCCCCAAUCUUUGCCUUCUUUUAAUGUAAGCACUUUUCGCUGCCAUAUAUGGAUAGAAAUAGUAAUAUCCAUCCAAUUCUGCACUAACUGAAAUUCAUAGCAAAGCUUGCAUUAUCCUCAGUGGUCACAGAACAAUGCAUAAAGGACCAACAUUUCUUAUUGGUUAUACCAGCAUCAAGUUAGUUCCUGUUUACAUCAAAAUAAUUAAAAUCAAAAUUUAACUUGUUUUAGUGUAUUGUAGAAUGUUCCUGGAAAACUCCCACAUAGCUGCAGAAACAUAAUCUUUAAUUAGUAGUGAUAUAACCUUGUAUGACAAAUGAAAAUACAACUGUUCUCUUAUUUCUGCAACCAUAGCUUCUUGCUAAAAUUAUAUUCUUAGGUAGCAUAUCUUACUUGUUUGAUGUUUGUAUGCAGGGAAUUGUUUUAGUAAUACCUAUUUUGUGAUCAUUUGGCUCUAUGGAUAAAAAGCCUCUAAAAAGCUGGCAUUGAUGAGUUUGCCCUAGUAUAUGUGGAAAAGGUGACAUUAGGUUGCAAGCUUCAGACUAGAAUAGAUUUCUUUGAUGUUUUUCUACGACAGGAAAUUACUAUACAUCUUUCUGAGAGCUAGUCAGGUUUAGGUUAAGGAUGUCACAUAUUUGCAGGAAUUGUAUUCUUAGCAAGUUGCCAUGUAAAUGAGGUGUCUAGCAGAACUCACUAUCUUUGCAAUAUUAAUAGCCUCCCCAAGUGAUGCAUCUCCAGAGAAACUGUUUUACGGAA